CACGUAGGGCGCGAGCGUUGUCCGGAAUUAUUGGGCGUAAAGAGCUCGUAGGCGGCGCGGUAAGUCGGGUGUGAAAUCUCGGAGCUUAACUCCGAAACUGCAUUCGAUACUGCCGUGCUUGAGGACUGGAGAGGAGACUGGAAUUUACGGUGUAGCGGUGAAAUGCGUAGAGAUCAUGAGGAAGACCAGUGGCGAAGGCGGGUCUCUGGACAGUUCCUGACACUGAGGCACGAAGGCCAGGGGAGCAAACGGG
rnacentral:rRNA from 1 species